AGCGAACGCUGGCGGCAGGCCUAACACAUGCAAGUCGAACGAACCUUUCGGGGUUAGUGGCGGACGGGUGAGUAACACGUGGGAACGUGCCUUUAGGUUCGGAAUAACUCAGGGAAACUUGUGCUAAUACCGCAUGUGCCCUUCGGGGGAAAGAUUUAUCGCCUUUAGAGCGGCCCGCGUCUGAUUAGCUAGUUGGUUGGGGUAAUGGCUCACCAAGGCGACGAUCAGUAGCUGGUCUGAGAGGAUGAUCAGCCACAUUGGGACUGAGACACGGCCCAAACUCCUACGGGAGGCAGCAGUGGGGAAUCUUGCGCAAUGGGCGAAAGCCUGACGCAGCCAUGCCGCGUGAAUGAUGAAGGUCUUAGGAUUGUAAAAUUCUUUCACCGGGGACGAUAAUGACGGUACCCGGAGAAGAAGCCCCGGCUAACUUCGUG
rnacentral:rRNA from 1 species